UUGAAGUAAAAAGUCGUAACAAGGUCUCCGUUGGUGAACCAGCGGAGGGAUCAUUACUGAGUUUACGCUCUACAACCCUUUGUGAACAUACCUACAACUGUUGCUUCGGCGGGUAGGGUCUCCGCGACCCUCCCGGCCUCCCGCCUCCGGGCGGGUCGGCGCCCGCCGGAGGAUAACCAAACUCUGAUUUAACGACGUUUCUUCUGAGUGGUACAAGCAAAUAAUCAAAACUUUUAACAACGGAUCUCUUGGUUCUGGCAUCGAUGAAGAACGCAGCGAAAUGCGAUAAGUAAUGUGAAUUGCAGAAUUCAGUGAAUCAUCGAAUCUUUGAACGCACAUUGCGCCCGCCAGCAUUCUGGCGGGCAUGCCUGUUCGAGCGUCAUUUCAACCCUCAAGCUCUGCUUGGUGUUGGGGCCCUACAGCCGAUGUAGGCCCUCAAAGGUAGUGGCGGACCCUCCCGGAGCCUCCUUUGCGUAGUAACUUUACGUCUCGCACUGGGAUCCGGAGGGACUCUUGCCGUAAAACCCCCCAAUUUUCCAAAGGUUGACUCGGAUCA
rnacentral:rRNA from 1 species